AAAGAAAGAUUUGGUGUGGUUUGUGGGUCUCUGGUAUCAUCGGUACAUAUUUCUUUAAAAAUAAUGCCAGGGAGACGUAACCGUCAAUGAUAUUUGGUUUCAGCAAGACUGUGCCACUUCCCACACAUCGCAUCAAUCAAUAAAUUUAUUGAGAGAAGACUUCGGCGAGCAGAUAAUUUUACGUUUUGGGCUGGUCGUUUGGCCACCAAAACGGUGUAAUAUCGCACCGUUAGAAUUUAUGCUGUGGGAUAUGCGAAGUAUAAAGUCCAAAGCUAAAUAUCACGCGUGUCAUUCGCUAGUUACCAAUCGAAAUCCUCGAACGAGUCAUCGAAAUUUGGACUUAACGGAUGAAGCACCUGAGACGUAGCCGCUGCCAACAUUUAAAGGAGAUUAUCUUCAAAAAAUAAAUACAAAAUAAUGUUCUUUCGAAUGAUAAUAUACAUUCCCCAGUAAAUUGGAGUUUCUGUAUUUUUUCUAUAAAAAAUCAGGGAAGUUCGAAAUGUAUCGCCCAUUAUAAAUAUCAGAAACUAAUAAGACUGCCUUAGUAUUUAUUAAUAAGUAUGUAUGUACAAAAGUAUUUUUGUUGAAAAUGAUUGAAGCCGGUUUCGACAAAUUAGAAUUGCCAUCGUCUAAGGUCAGUUACUUUGACAAAUGUUUCAUAAAUGCAUUGUUGAUAACGAAAGUAUCGCACCGAAGCUAUAAUUAAAUCAAAUUAUUCUAAGUGAUUUUCAUAUGUGUUAGUGCGCAAUUAUUGAUUAUUUCUUUGAUUUUAUAAUGAGGCAAAGCAAAUGUGCAUAGUCUAGUCUAAUCGUGCUGAUUUACAAGCACACGUUUAACGGUCGCCAUAGAAAUAGAGAGUGCGCGUUAAUAGAACAUAAACUCACGUGUGUGAAUGUGUGUGUGCUUAUUGCAAAAAUUGGCACAUUAAAUUAAUCUUAAAGAUUCAAGGACAAAACCUUGACUAUGAAACAAUGGACCCAACGGCAACGUAGUCGUGUGUGAGCGUGACGUCAAUUUACUUUGUUUUGUUUUAAAAUUUGCGUAGAAUUUUUUGCUUAGAACAUAGAGAGACAUGGUAGAUGUGAAGUAGAGUAUAGAGCCGCAGAAAUGUUACUGAAGGCAAGCAGUUUUAUUGCUAUUAAUGAAAGUGUGUCUUUCGCUCUGCCUUAAAAGAAAUUCUGCUAAUUUUCUAUCUAAAUAAUAUCUAUGCUAGACGGUUGAUCUCAUAUAAGUGGUUCGUGCGUUUGUAUUAGCUGAUCAAUUUGAAAUCUUUAAAGGUUUAAUGAUGACCCAAUUAGCUGAAUAAGGUUAAAUUUUUUGCUGUUAAUUCCUUUUUACUUCAUAUACAGCAAAUGUACUUAACAAGAUCUAGAAGAUGUCAUGAUAAUCGGAUUAUACUUGUAUGGUCGGAACGAAAGAAGAUAUUUUCACAUUGCUGCUUAUAUUUGUUGGAUAAAGCUUUAACUAGCUUUCUGAGUUGGAAAUGAAGAAAACGCGAUGGAGUGGCUCAUUGUUUUCGAAAGAAUUGAGCUAUUUCAUAUCAUUUUACUCUAUGAAACCCAUGUAACCUAACCUGCAAGCAAAUGUGGACUCAAGAAUUCCCGCAAUUAUCCACCGUAACAAAUUGCUGCCGAACACAUUCAGUGUGGAUUUUGUACUGAAAUGUCAAUACAACGCUUUCCAAUUUUUAAGAUUUGAAUUUUCAACGAUUUCAAUCCAUUGAUAACUACACACAUAGCUGCAUUUAUAUAACUGUAUAAGCGAUUACCCAUGUGUAUUUUCCAACAAACGAGUAUUUGCUUGCACUUGCUUAGAAUGUGUUCUAUGUUUUGGCCGAGUGCAUGCUGCGAGCGAGUCGUACGUCGUGCUAUCAGUGCGCCGAGCAUACACAUACAUACAUAUGCACAUUUGUGUAAUUAUGUUGAAAUAUACUUCUAUUUACCGUUAUUUAUAUUAUUACUUUUUUUUUUCAAAAAAAUCAAGGUGAAGGUAGAGCAUUUUGUCACAAAGCGAUUUAUAUGCCGAGUCGCUGAACUUAUCUGGAGCUUAGCACGGGAUUAUUUAGAAAUCACACGCUGAUUACUGAUUGAAAAAUGUCACAACGGUCGCGUUUAUAAUAAUGCACUUAAUUAAUUACCUAAACAAAUAUUGCUGUUUGUCACGAAGUUUGUAACACCUAGAAGUUAACGUCGGAGACCCCAUAAAAAUAUAUAUACACAUUUAGCAAGAAUCAAAAGAUGGUAAAACCUUGUAACCGAAGGUACUACUCGUACCAGUUGAGUUUUCACACAACUCUGGACUGGCGGCCGGAUCUUAGUCGCCUCUUACGACAGGAAUGCCUUGCCACGGGUAUAUUCGGUUUCCCCC